AUGGGGUGACUGCGUACCUUUUGUAUAAUGGGUCAGCGACUUAUAUUCUGUAGCAAGGUUAACCGUAUAGGGGAGCCGUAGGGAAACCGAGUCUUAACUGGGCGAAUGAGUUGCAGGGUAUAGACCCGAAACCCGGUGAUCUAUCCAUGGGCAGGUUGAAGGUUGGGUAACACUAACUGGAGGACCGAACCGACUAAUGUUGAAAAAUUAGCGGAUGACUUGUGGAUGGGGGUGAAAGGCCAAUCAAACCGGGAGAUAGCUGGUUCUCCCCGAAAGCUAUUUAGGUAGCGCCUCGUGAACUCAUCUUCGGGGGUAGAGCACUGUUUCGACUAGGGGGUCAUCCCGACUUACCAACUCGAUGCAAACUGCGAAUACCGAAGAAUGUUAUCACGGGAGACACACGGCGGGUGCUAACGUCCGUCGUGAAGAGGGAAACAACCCAGACCGCCAGCUAAGGUCCCAAAGUCAUGGUUAAGUGGGAAACGAAGUGGGAAGGCUCAGACAGCCAGGAUGUUGGCUUAGAAGCAGCCAUCAUUUAAAGAAAGCGUAAUAGCUCACUGGUCGAGUCGGCCCGCGCGGAAGAUGUAACGGGGCUAAACCAUGCACCGAAGCUGCGGCAGCGAACGUAUCACUUAAAUUUGUUUGAGUGAAUAACGAUUGACGGAACGAAGUGACGUCAAUGCGUUAAUGAAAGUCGAGGCGAAAGCACGACAAAGCGAAUUUAAGGAUACGUUCGUUGGGUAGGGGAGCGUUCUGUAAGCCUGCGAAGGUGUACUGUGAGGUAUGCUGGAGGUAUCAGAAGUGCGAAUGCUGACAUAAGUAACGAUAAUGCGGGUGAAAAACCCGCACGCCGGAAGACCAAGGGUUCCUGUCCAACGUUAAUCGGGGCAGGGUGAGUCGACCCCUAAGGCGAGGCUGAAAAGCGUAGUCGAUGGGAAACGGGUUAAUAUUCCCGUACUGGUGGUAACUGCGAUGGGGGAACGGAGAAGGCUAGGUUGUCCGGGCGACGGUCGUCCCGGUUCAAGCAGGUAGGCAGAGUGAUUAGGCAAAUCCGGUCACUUAAUGCUGAGAUGUGAUGACGAACCACUAAGGUGGUGAAGCAAUUGAUGCCCCGCUUCCAGGAAAAGCCUCUAAGCUUCAGGUUACCAACAAUCGUACCCCAAACCGACACAGGUGGUCAGGUAGAGAAUACUCAGGCGCUUGAGAGAACUCGGGUGAAGGAACUAGGCAAAAUGGUGCCGUAACUUCGGGAGAAGGCACGCUGGCGGUAGGUAAAGUCCCUUGCGGACGGCGCUGAAGCCAGUCGAAGAUACCAGCUGGCUGCAACUGUUUAUUAAAAACACAGCACUGUGCAAACACGAAAGUGGACGUAUACGGUGUGACGCCUGCCCGGUGCUGGAAGGUUAAUUGAUGGGGUCAGCCGUAAGGCGAAGCUCCUGAUCGAAGCCCCAGUAAACGGCGGCCGUAACUAUAACGGUCCUAAGGUAGCGAAAUUCCUUGUCGGGUAAGUUCCGACCUGCACGAAUGGCGUAAUGAUGGCCAGGCUGUCUCCACCCGAGACUCAGUGAAAUUGAACUCGCUGUGAAGAUGCAGUGUACCCGCGGCAAGACGGAAAGACCCCGUGAACCUUUACUAUAGCUUGACACUGAACAUUGAGCCUUGAUGUGUAGGAUAGGUGGGAGGCUUUGAAGUGUGGACGCCAGUCUGCAUGGAGCCAACCUUGAAAUACCACCCUUUAACGUUUGAUGUUCUAACCUAGGCCCAUAAACUGGGUCGGGGACCGUGUCUGGUGGGUAGUUUGACUGGGGCGGUCUCCUCCUAAAGAGUAACGGAGGAGCACGAAGGUUGGCUAAGCAUGGUCGGACAUCAUGCGGUUAGUGCAAAGGCAUAAGCCAGCUUGACUGCGAGAGUGACGGCUCGAGCAGGUACGAAAGUAGGUCUUAGUGAUCCGGUGGUUCUGAAUGGAAGGGCCAUCGCUCAACGGAUAAAAGGUACUCCGGGGAUAACAGGCUGAUACCGCCCAAGAGUUCAUAUCGACGGCGGUGUUUGGCACCUCGAUGUCGGCUCAUCACAUCCUGGGGCUGAAGUAGGUCCCAAGGGUAUGGCUGUUCGCCAUUUAAAGUGGUACGCGAGCUGGGUUUAGAACGUCGUGAGACAGUUCGGUCCCUAUCUGCCGUGGGCGUUGGAAGAUUGAGAGGGGUUGCUCCUAGUACGAGAGGACCGGAGUGAACGCACCACUGGUGUUCGGGUUGUCAUGCCAAUGGCAUUGCCCGGUAGCUAAGUGCGGAAGAGAUAACCGCUGAAAGCAUCUAAGCGGGAAACUUGCCUCGAGAUGAGUCUUCCCUGUCGCUUUAAGCGACCUAAAGGAACGUUUAAGACUAAGACGUUGAUAGGCUGGGUGUGUAAGCGUAGCGAUACGUUGAGCUAACCAGUACUAAUGAACCGUGAGGCUUAACCUG
rnacentral:rRNA from 1 species